rnacentral:rRNA from 1 species
UACGUAGGGGGCGAGCGUUGUCCGGAUUCAUUGGGCGUAAAGCGUGCGCAGGCGGCUCGGUGCGCCCGGCGUGAAAGCCCCCGGCUCAACCGGGGAGGGUCGUCGGGGACGGGCAAGCUUGAGGGUAUCAGGGGCUGGUGGAAUUCCCGGUGUAGUGGUGAAAUGCGUAGAGAUGGGGGAGAACACUCGUGGCGAAGGCGGCCAGCUAGACCAGUUCUGACACUGAGGCGCGACAGCGUGGGGAGCAAACAGG